rnacentral:rRNA from 1 species
GGUGAACGCUGGCGGUAGGCCUAACGCAUGCAAGUCGAACGGCAGCACAGUAAGAGCUUGCUCUUACGGGUGGCGAGUGGCGGACGGGUGAGGAAUACAUCGGAAUCUACUUUUUCGUGGGGGAUAACGUAGGGAAACUUACGCUAAUACCGCAUACGACCUACGGGUGAAAGCAGGGGAUCUUCGGACCUUGCGCGAUUGAAUGAGCCGAUGUCGGAUUAGCUAGUUGGCGGGGUAAAGGCCCACCAAGGCGACGAUCCGUAGCUGGUCUGAGAGGAUGAUCAGCCACACUGGAACUGAGACACGGUCCAGACUCCUACGGGAGGCAGCAGUGGGGAAUAUUGGACAAUGGGCGCAAGCCUGAUCCAGCCAUACCGCGUGGGUGAAGAAGGCCUUCGGGUUGUAAAGCCCUUUUGUUGGGAAAGAAAAGCAGCAGGUUAAUACCCCGCUGUUCUGACGGUACCCAAAGAAUAAGCACCGGCUAACUUCGUG